CCAAGGAGGGAAACAGGCUGAAUGUUCUGACGAGGCUAAGAAAAGUCUGGUGCUUGAAUUCAGGUGCCAGAGAGAGGGCUGCUGGAGGGAGGAGUGGAACAAUAAAUAAGACUCAUUAGAACAACUGAAAAUUAAACAAAACCAAGACACAUCAGAAACAAUCAAGAGUGAGGACUAAAGUGAAAUGUAACUCAACACAGGUAAAGAUAAAGAUUAGCUAAACAGCAUAGUCAAAUGGGUCAAAAGCUGCUCACAUCCAGGGCCACACAGGCAGUGCCCAGCCAAAUCCAUAACCAGAAGUACCAGAGAAAGAGGCUUCGGCUGAUUUCCAUGGAAGAAAGCUAAACGAAGAGGAAACCCAAACACGACUUACCAACGCAAUUAGAGAGCACAGCGUACUUGUACUGCAAGCAACACCAAGCACGUGGUACUCCACAUGGCCACGUCUGAGUUCUGUCAGCACUGAGACAGCCAUGCCAAACGUGAACUGCAACUGCUCAGGGUACCUCCCGAGGGCCACACAGCACUGAUCAUCACCCUGCAGUUACAACUCAGCCUUCAGAGCGCGCUCAGUUCACCCAGCCAGAGGAAUCACUGAAAUACCACUGCUUGUUCGUUUUAAUGUGUUUAUUCAGUGCUUGGAGUUUGUUGGUUUGUGGGGUUUGAUUUUAUUUUGUUUGUUUUGUUUUAACCAGGCAUGUUUUGCAUAUGGAAAUCGUGUUUGAACAGGCAACUCUUCAAACAGAAACAAAACUCAACUUCUUACACAGAAAACUACGAGCUUAAUGCAAAGCUUUGGCAUUUUACCUUGUGAUUUUUGCUUUCUUGUUGCAUAAAUCCUUCUUAACAAGGUAAUGCUCUAAAGAGAAAGCUAUGAGCAAUAGUACCUGAAUUAAAAUCUAACACAUACAAGAAGUUAGAGGAGGAAAGUCCAACCUGUUGUAUCGACAGGAUCACUCAGUCCAUACUACAUUAGACACUCUGCUACAAACACAUUGUGAAAUACCUAAACAUAGUAACAAGUACUGAAAGAAUAUCACUGUUUAUCAUAGUAAACUUCCAAAUGUGUCUAAAACAAAUGGUCUCCAUGUCUCCAUACUGUAUUAGUUAUCAAAGCUACACAUACUCAAACAAAAACCCCCU